rnacentral:rRNA from 1 species
AACGAACGCUGGCGGCAUGCCUAACACAUGCAAGUCGAACGAGACCUUCGGGUCUAGUGGCGCACGGGUGCGUAACGCGUGGGAACCUGCCCUUAGGUUCGGAAUAACUCCCCGAAAGGGGUGCUAAUACCGGAUAAUGUCUUCGGACCAAAGAUUUAUCGCCUUUGGAUGGGUCCGCGUUGGAUUAGCUAGUUGGUAGGGUAAAAGCCUACCAAGGCGACCAUCCAUAGCUGGUCUGAGAGGAUGAUCAGCCACACUGGGACUGAGACACGGCCCAGACUCCUACGGGAGGCAGCAGUGGGGAAUAUUGGACAAUGGGCGAAAGCCUGAUCCAGCAAUGCCGCGUGAGUGAUGAAGGCCUUAGGGUUGUAAAGCUCUUUUACCCGGGAUGAUAAUGACAGUACCGGGAGAAUAAGCUCCGGCUAACUCCGUG